rnacentral:rRNA from 1 species
UACGACUACAUAUCAGGCAUAUCAAUAAGCGGAGGAAAAGAAACUAACAAGGAUUCCCCUAGUAACGGCGAGUGAAGCGGGAAGAGCUCAAAUUUGAAAUCUUAAAGGGUUUCCCUUUACGAAUUGUAGUUUAAAGAAGUGUUUUCUGUUGGAGUUUCGGUAAAAGUUCUUUGGAAUAGGACAUCAUAGAGGGUGAGAAUCCCGUAUUUGACCGUUACUUUCCAGCUGUGUGAUACACUUUCAAAGAGUCGGAUUGUUUGGGAAUGCAGUCCAAGAUGGGUGGUAAAUUUCAUCUAAAGCUAAAUAUUGGCGAGAGACCGAUAGCGAACAAGUACCGUGAGGGAAAGAUGAAAAGAACUUUGAAAAGAGAGUUAAACAGUACGUGAAAUUGUCAAAAGGGAAGCGUUUGACACCAGUGUUGUUUAGUUGAAAAUCAAUUCAAUAGUUUUUGAUUCUAAGUAGUAUUGACUUCAUCAGCUUGCUGCUUUCUUCUCAGAAAUUAUUGAAUGCACUUUUCAGGUUAACAAGUCAACAUCAAUUUCUUUUGUUGUAAAAGGGUAUAGGAAGGUGGCUUUCUCUUUCGGCGCAAGUGUUUAUAGCCUUUAUACCUCUACAAUCGGAGAGAUUGAGGUCUGCAGCGUAGAUCCUUCGGGGCUAGAUACACUUGUGCUAAGCUAUAGCCUUGUAUAGACAACUUGUUGACUAUGCUCUAGUCAUGUAGCUUACUCGCUGAUGCUAUUUUACCUACGCUUAGGAUGUUGAUCUACAGAGCGAGAGU